UUGUAUUUCAAUCAUCAGGCAACAAAUUUCCUCUUUUAUCAGUCUACUAGUAUUCAUGGGGAUCCAUAGGGGGUCCCCGCUACACGUGAACCAUUCACAUUAAUAACUUAAUUCCAGGGGCGUCCCCAUACCCCGUCCGAUAUGAGUGCCAAAACUAUAAACCUCAAUACCUCGUCCAGUAUGAGGGUGAAACGGGCCGUCCCCAUACCCCGUCCGGUAUGGGCACCAAAACACAUAAAGUCUCCAUACCUCGUCCGAUAUGAGAGACCACGUUCCCGGUAGGGUUCUCUAUGGACCCGGUCCGUCUAUCAUUUCCCAGGAUAUCUAGUCAGGCUGUCGACAUCAUCCAUUUAUCAAUUCACAUACCCUUUUUUUAUUUUUCUUAAUCUCAAUUAUCCAACCAAACAUAAAUAUGUAAACCGGUAAUGGACACCAAACAAAGCAACACAACAUCGGGUUCACAAUAAUUCAAAGCAUAAUAAAUGAAACCGUGAUUCAUGCAUAUGAAACCAUAGAAUAAGCACAUCAGGCACCAUACUGCAUUCAAAACUGUAAAAUAAAUCAAACAACACCUGACCGAAAAAUACAUCAGUUUCGGGCUCCAUUAGCAAUCUUAAUUAAUUAUACAUAUCUAUUAAUUCCUAAAAUACCGUUUUAUCAUUUAUUAAUC
rnacentral:lncRNA from 1 species